GAUGAACGCUGGCGGCGUGCCUAAUACAUGCAAGUCGAGCGAACAGAUGAGGAGCUUGCUCCUCUGACGUUAGCGGCGGACGGGUGAGUAACACGUGGAUAACCUACCUAUAAGACUGGGAUAACUUCGGGAAACCGGAGCUAAUACCGGAUAAUAUAUUGAACCGCAUGGUUCAAUAGUGAAAGACGGUUUUGCUGUCACUUAUAGAUGGAUCCGCGCCGCAUUAGCUAGUUGGUAAGGUAACGGCUUACCAAGGCAACGAUGCGUAGCCGACCUGAGAGGGUGAUCGGCCACACUGGAACUGAGACACGGUCCAGCCCCCUACGGGAGGCAGCAGUAGGGAAUCUUCCGCAAUGGGCGAAAGCCUGACGGGGCAACGCCGGGGGAGUGAUGAAGGUCUUCGGAUCGUAAAACUCUGUUAUUAGGGAAGAACAAAUGUGUAAGUAACUAUGCACGUCUUGACGGUACCUAAUCAAAAAGCCCCGGCUAACUACGU
rnacentral:rRNA from 1 species